AAGUCGUAAAUGAGAGUUGUAGGAAACUGAACCAGUGAAACUUUAAUAUAUGCAAGUCUAUGGUUCAGUUUCCUCCAACAUCUCACCUCCGACCU
rnacentral:pre_miRNA from 1 species